rnacentral:rRNA from 1 species
ACGGGAGGCAGCAGUGGGGAAUAUUGCACAAUGGGCGGAAGCCUGAUGCAGCGACGCCGCGUGAGGGAUGACGGCCUUCGGGUUGUAAACCUCUUUCAGCCGGGACGAAGGCCUUUGGGUUGACGGUACCGGCAGAAGAAGCGCCGGCCAACUACGUGCCAGCAGCCGCGGUAAGACGUAGGGCGCGAGCGUUGUCCGGAUUUAUUGGGCGUAAAGAGCUCGUAGGCGGCUUGUCGCGUCGACUGUGAAAUCCCGUGGCUCAACUGCGGGUCUGCAGUCGAUACGGGCAGGCUAGAGUUCGGUAGGGGAGACUGGAAUUCCUGGUGUAGCGGUGAAAUGCGCAGAUAUCAGGAGGAACACCGGUGGCGAAGGCGGGUCUCUGGGCCGAUACUGACGCUGAGGAGCGAAAGCGUGGGGAGCGAACAGGAUUAGAUACCCUGGUA